AUGGGUUCACAGUUCUCUCUCAGAACACGUACUCCUUUGAUUUUCUUGAAAGCCUUUGGAAAGCCUUGGGACACCUGUAGGUUCCACUGUGUGCCUGGAAGUAAAGGAUUCCGAGACGGUCGAGGCACAAGUUGGGAGAGCCUGACCCCUGAGCCACUGCUGAGAGGACAUCCUUCUGGGAGAGUAGCUGACCUGCACUGGACCUUGUGAACAUGAGAAACAAAUUUUCACUUUGUGAGUUCUUAAGAUUUGGGAGUCUAUCUGUUAUUGUGGAAGAGCUUAUCCUCCCUUAACUAAUACACUUAUUAAUCAAAG
rnacentral:lncRNA from 1 species